CAGAGCUGCUGGUGGCUGCUGCUUUUGCUCUGUUCUUUGAUGUUUUGGAUGUUCUCUUUUUUGCUUAUGUAAGGUCUUUUUUUUCAGGUUUGAUUGCUGGUGUAUUCUAUAUUUUUCUGAUUGUUGUGCUUGGAUGCCGUGAUUCAGCUUCAUGGUUAUGUGUGAUGAGUGAUGCAGCUGGUGAGUCGCGGGUUGAUGGCAGGAAAUGGCGUGGUAUGGCGUCGUGCUAUUUUAUUCUACUACAACAUCCAUGAAUAUAAAUUCGAAGUGCAGGUCGUCUACAAGAUUUUCAAAGAAGAAAACUUUGUCCUAUAUUUGCCACACGAUCCUUCGGAGAUACAACUCUGAACUGAUGAAUGCAGAAGAAAGUAUUAUCUGAUCAUGGAUAGAUUGUGCAACGUAAGAUCCUUUUUUACUGGCCCUUAAACUUUUAAUAAUCCUACAUAAAUGUUUAUUAUCUUCCAAUGAACUCUUGGUAUUUUUUCUUUUGCAUUCACAUUUCUUAUGCAUGCAUUGUGUCAUAUACACCUGCAUCCUGCAUAUACACUUACAAGUUGCAAGAAAAAGAAAAGCGUGAAAACUCAUGCUAAAUUCGUGUAAUCUUCCAGAUAGUUUACAAAUUCUAAUAGUGGUUGUUAUAAGCAAAAGGUUGGUACGUAAUUCUAAAAAAUUAGCAGACAUGUAUAAAUUUUUUAUAUUCAGUAUAGUGUUAAUAGGACCAUGCAUACUAUGUAUCUCUCAUGUUGUCUAGAUGUGUCUUAGUCAAUACGUUGAACAUAUGUUUUCUCCUGGGUAACAUGCUUUCAUUUCCAAGCCGACGGUUACCUCACAUGUAUUACUUCCUUUUUUUAGCAUGUGUCCUACUUAUAGUCUACUAAAUACUCCUUUCUUGAGGCUACAGGGCAAGUUCCCCGCUUCUAAAAGGUGCAAGAAACCUGAGGUUUAGCACAACAAGUUGUAUUAUCUGUCUUUUUUGUUACUAAGAUCUUUAGUAGGGAUCUAUUAUUGAUUUCAUGUAAUUCAAUAUUUGAAAGUUCUAAUCUAUAAAUGUAUGCAGAUUUAUGAUUCUAAAAUAGCUUUUAAAAAUAGAUUCUUACUAAGUCUGGGUUGCCUCCUUGCUUAGAAGUGCCACCGAGGAGUCGUUCCGGUCGGAACUCAACAUUGAAACCAUACAAGCCAUCUAUGCUUCCGAUCAGUAGGAAGGUUAGCAACUCCGUGACUGCAUAGAUGUCGGCUUCCUGGAGGAAGACAAAUCCCAGCCUUUGACAAGGAAUCCAUUGAUCACGAUCCUCAACACAGCUGGCGAAGGCAUGUAAAUCCUCCUCCUUUGCUCUGAUGAAGAAGAGGAUCCAGUUACCAAGUGUGUGUCCGGAUAUGAUGAAAUCCACGAAUUGUACCAUUGGUUUAUCUUUGAUUGUGUAUUGAAAUUUACUACGAGGUCGAUCUUAC